CUUUUACAGAUAUUUGGAUUUUAUUUUGGCAGACAGUUUAGCUACUUUUAGACCAACUUGAUUCUUUUGAGGUUUGUUUUUAGCACAGGUCUGCAGUAGCCUCAGUCUAGCCCUAAUACUUCUGGGGUCUUUUCUGAAUGCCCUGCUUGUUCUGAGAUUUCUACACCACAAUUGAAAGUGAAUUCAAAAAAGCUGGAGAGGAGACGCAUCAGGUGGUUUCCUGAGAAGCUAAGGGAAGAGAAGACUUAGACAUUACUAGAACCCAUUCCUCAAGACACUGUAUUCAGACAGAGGUGAUUGCAUCCUUUGAAAGCCUGUUUGCAUAGCAGACAAUGAAGCUGAGCAGAGAAAAACAAGAUGAGAGACAGAUGGAGUAGGAGACCUGAGAAGAUGGCUUGAGUCCAUGAAUUCUGGUGUUCCCUAGGCCACAUUUGCCCCCAUCCUUCCCAGAUUUUACUUUCUACUCUUGUCAGUCAUAUCUGCAAGGCUGACAGUUACCAGGGGCUGUGGCCAGGCAUGAGGGAGAAUGUGUCAUUGCUGGCUGCGUUGGUCAUAGCAACGUGUCUGCCUCAGAACAGAUCCAGCAUGGAUGAGCAAACAGAAAAAUGUGUAAGAAGGCUUGUGACUGAAACAGACCAAGGGUUAGACUUCUCCUAUGGAGAAUGCAGCAAGAAAAUACCAUCUUGAAGCAGAGAGCAGCGCUCAUCAGGCAUCAGUCCUUCUGGAGCCUUGAUCUUGGACCUCCCAGCUCCAAAAUAAUAAGUAAUAAAUUGUUAUUGCUUAUAAAUU
rnacentral:lncRNA from 10 species